rnacentral:lncRNA from 1 species
GUCUCUUAAUGACCCUUGCUAUUGUCGUCGUUUGUGUGCAUCACUAGGCGUUCGUCAAAGAACGACCAAUCAUCUUCUUCUUUGACUUCGGCGUCAUCUUCUCCAGUGCAUCAGACCCAGUCGUCCUCUUCUCUUGCUCAGAACCGUCCAGAUCGAUUUUUGCCUCGUCUUGUCCAUAUCGAUUCCGGUUUUGUCCUCAGGCAAAAGUCACCGUUGCUCCACUCUUACUCAGAUCGAUUUCCGGCUUCGUCUUCAGCCAAAGACCACCGACACUCUUCUUGCCUAGACCGGGUUCACCAUUCAUCCGAGACCGUCGCCGACUAUUUGUCCGAGAUCGUCGCCUCCAUCUCACCACAGAUCGACCAGAUUCUUCAGUUCGUUGCUGCUCACAUAACGACCGGAUUUGUUCAACCCAGUUAACAUCUGGGUCCAAUCCAUCAGUCACAGAAAGACCGUUCGCUUCUUCAGUUCAGGCCGGUGUCGGCCUUAGUCCAGCCCUACCCGUGCAACAAGUCAUAAUUCCC